rnacentral:lncRNA from 1 species
CCAAACUCACACAGACGUUGGAACUACCAGUUGUGCGGGAAGGAGCUAUCCACUUUGGGUCUCCUCAACGUUGGGACAACCUGUCAAUGGAAAAGAGCUACCCACUUCAGGUCUCCUCAGAGCUGUUCUGUCACUCCAUGAAGCUCCUCUCCACCUUGUUAAUCCUCCAGUUGUCUGCAUACCUCAUUCUUCCUGGACGCAGAACAACAACUCGGGACCCACUGAAUGAUUACUUACUUUGUGGACUCCACCUGCUAUCUCAUAAAGACACUUAAGCAGCAAUGUGGAGAGGUACACCUGAAAAGUAACGGAAUCCUUACGUCAGUAAUCUGCACUAAUUUGCCAGGACAAGAACCCAGAACCCACUGAGCUGCGGGCAGUGGGAAUAAAUGGGCUGUAACACACUGCCACUUGCCAGACUAUGGAAGAAAGAGAGCUGUAACAUGCUCCUGCUUGCUGAGCUGCAGGAGUGAAGAACUGCAACAUCUAACAUCUCAGACCUUGGGACUCCUCAGAUGCUGGUGCCCAAGGCAGAAGUCACUAGCAGUAUGCUUGGUCCAGCUGUGGGCUAAGCAUGGAGCCAUGGCAGGUGCAGUAUUCGGGCCGAGGCAUGAGCCAAGUGCAGCCUGCUGGGCCAAGUGGGCAGGGUGAGCCCAGCAGGCCCUAAGCAAGGCUUGGGCAGAGAUGACGAUGGCCGUAGAGAUUUCUGGCUGGUGAAGCAACACUGAAGGAGUCCUGUAACGGGAGGAUAGGCUAAUGGUUAUAAGUUGUGUCUUAGGUGUGGUAAUUAACAAUGAACCCACAGAAAUUUUCUGUUUUAACCAGGUUGAAAUAAAAGGAAAACAGUUCAUCAUCUUCUAAAGGAAGCUUAAAUUGGAAAGUUGGAUGUUAGAUUUUUUCAGAAACGCAUACAUUUUUUAAGUAAUAAAUCUAACAUUCUUCUCC